UAGGGAAUAUUAGAAAUGGACGAAAGUCUGAUCUAGCAACACCGCGUGUGCGAAGAAGGCCUUCGGGUUGUAAAGCACUUUUUGGAAGGAUUAGGAAGGAAUGUACUUCCAGAAUAAGUCUCGGCUAACUACGUGCCAGCAGCCGCGGUAACACGUAGGAGGCAAACGUUAUCCGGAUUUACUGGGCGUAAAGCGCGUGUAGGUGGUUCUGUAAGUAGGGCGUGAAAGCUCCUGGCUCAACUGGGAGAGGCCGUUCUAAACUGCAGGGCUAGAGGAUGGUAGAGGGAGGUGGAAUUCCGGGUGUAGCGGUUGAAUGCGCAGAUAUCCGGAAGAACACCAGUGGCGAAGGCGGCCUCCUGGACCAUUCCUGACACUCAGACGCGAAAGCUAGGGUAGCAAACG
rnacentral:rRNA from 1 species